GAUGAACGCUGGCGGCGUGCCUAAUACAUGCAAGUCGAGCGAAUGGAUUAAGAGCUUGCUCUUAUGACGUUAGCGGCGGACGGGUGAGUAACACGUGGGUAACCUGCCCAUAAGACUGGGAUAACUCCGGGAAACCGGGGCUAAUACCGGAUAACAUUUUGAACCGCAUGGUUCGAAAUUGAAAGGCGGCUUCGGCUGUCACUUAUGGAUGGACCCGCGUCGCAUUAGCUAGUUGGUGAGGUAACGGCUCACCAAGUCAACGAUGCGUAGCCGACCUGAGAGGGUGAUCGGCCACAAUGGGACUGAGACACGGCCCAGACUCCUACGGGAGGCAGCAGUAGGGAAUCUUCCGCAAUAGACGAAAGUCUGACGGCGCAACGCCGCGUGAGUGAUGAAGGCUUUCGGGUCGUAAAACUCUGUUGUUAGGGAAGAACAAGUGCUAGUUGAAUAAGCUGGCACCUUGACGGUACCUAACCAGAAAGCCACGGCUAACUACGUGCCAGCCGCCGCAGUAA
rnacentral:rRNA from 1 species